GGGGAAUAUUGCACAAUGGGCGCAAGCCUGAUGCAGCGACGCCGCGUGAGGGAUGGAGGCCUUCGGGUUGUAAACCUCUUUUAUCGGGGAGCAAGCGAGAGUGAGUUUACCCGUUGAAUAAGCACCGGCUAACUACGUGCCAGCAGCCGCGGUAAUACGUAGGGUGCAAGCGUUAUCCGGAAUUAUUGGGCGUAAAGGGCUCGUAGGCGGUUCGUCGCGUCCGGUGUGAAAGUCCAUCGCUUAACGGUGGAUCCGCGCCGGGUACGGGCGGGCUUGAGUGCGGUAGGGGAGACUGGAAUUCCCGGUGUAACGGUGGAAUGUGUAGAUAUCGGGAAGAACACCAAUGGCGAAGGCAGGUCUCUGGGCCGUUACUGACGCUGAGGAGCGAAAGCGUGGGGAGCGAACAGGAUUAGAUACCCUGGUAGUCCACGCCGUAAACGGUGGAUGCUGGAUGUGGGGCCCGUUCCACGGGGUUCCGUGUCGGAGCUAACGCGUUAAGCAUCCCGCCUGGGGAGUACGGCCGCAAGGCUAAAACUCAAAGAAAUUGACGGGGGCCCGCACAAGCGGCGGAGCAUGCGGAUUAAUUCGAUGCAACGCGAAGAACCUUACCUGGGCUUGACAUGUUCCCGACGGUCGUAGAGAUACGGCUUCCCUUCGGGGCGGGUUCACAGGUGGUGCAUGGUCGUCGUCAGCUCGUGUCGUGAGAUGUUGGGUUAAGUCCCGCAACGAGCGCAACCCUCGCCCCGUGUUGCCAGCGGAUUAUGCCGGGAACUCACGGGGGACCGCCGGGGUUAACUCGGAGGAAGGUGGGGAUGACGUCAGAUCAUCAUGCCCCUUACGUCCAGGGCUUCACGCAUGCUACAAUGGCCGGUACAACGGGAUGCGACGCGGCGACGCGGAGCGGAUCCCUGAAAACCGGUCUCAGUUCGGAUCGCAGUCUGCAACUCGACUGCGUGAAGGCGGAGUCGCUAGUAAUCGCGAAUCAGCAACGUCGCGGUGAAUGCGUUCCCG
rnacentral:rRNA from 1 species